GUAGGGAAUAUUGGUCAAUGGAUGCAAGUCUGAACCAGCCAUGCCGCGUGCAGGAUGAAGGCCUUCUGGGUCGUAAACUGCUUUUGCCGGGGAAUAAAUAGCCCAUGCGUGGGAAGUUGAAGGUACCCGGUGAAUAAGCCACGGCUAACUACGUGCCAGCAGCCGCGGUAAUACGUAGGUGGCAAGCGUUGUCCGGAUUUAUUGGGUUUAAAGGGUGCGUAGGCGGUCCUGUAAGUCUGUAGUGAAAUAUCCCGGCUCAACCGGGAGGGUGCUAUGGAUACUGCAGGACUUGAGUAAAGUUGAGGCAGGCGGAAUUGACGGUGUAGCGGUGAAAUGCAUAGAUAUCGUCAAGAACACCUAUAGCGAAGGCAGCUUGCUAAGCUUUAACUGACGCUGAUGCACGAAAGUGUGGGGAUCAAACAGGAUUAGAAACCCCGGUAGUCC
rnacentral:rRNA from 1 species